rnacentral:rRNA from 1 species
GUGCCAGCAGCCGCGGUAAUACGGAGGGUGCAAGCGUUGUCCGGAAUCACUGGGCGUAAGGGGUGCGCAGGCGGGGCAGCAAGUCGGAGGUGAAAGCCCAUGGCUCAACCAUGGAAGUGCCUUCGAAACUGUUGCUCUUGAGUCCCGGAGAGGCUGUCGGAAUUCGUGGUGUAGCGGUGAAAUGCGUAGAGAUCUGGAGGAACAUCAGUGGCGAAGGCGGCCACCUGGACCGAUACUGACGCCGAGGUGCGAAAGCGUGGGUAGCAAACAGGAUUAGAUACCCGUGUAGUCC